rnacentral:rRNA from 1 species
UACGGAGGGACUAGCGUUGUUCGGAAUUACUGGGCGUAAAGCGCACGUAGGCGGAUUUGUAAGUUAGGGUGAAAUCCCGGGCUCAACCUCCGGAACUGCCUUGAUACUGCAAUCUCGAGUCCGGAAGAGGUGAGUGGAAUGCCUAGUGUAGAGGUGAAAUUCGUAGAUAUUAGGAAGAACACCAGUGGCGAAGGCGGCUCACUGGUCCGGUACUGACGCUGAGGUGCGAAAGCGUGGGGAGCAAACAGG